UCACGACAUGCGAUACUUGGUGUGAAUUGCAGAAUCCCGCGAACCAUUUAGUUUUUGAACGCAAGUUGCGCCCGAGGCCUUCCGGUCGAGGGCACGCCUGCCUGGGCGUCACGCUAUUGUCGCUCCCUACGCCCCCAAGCUCAACGCAUGAGCGAUGGAGCCGGAUGCGGACACUGGCCCUUUGUGCGCUCGCGUGCGGUCGGCCGAAGAGGGUGCUGUCGCCGAUGGUCGGACACGACGGAUGGUGGUGCCAUGAGCAAAAGCCGAAAGUCGUGCCUCGGACCCAGAGGUGAUCUCGAAGGAAACCCCCACCCGUCUAUAAUCAUAGGGCUUGGACUGCGACCCCAGGUCAGGCGGGGCCACCCGCCGAGUUUAAGCAUAUAAAUAAGCGGAGGAGAAGAAACUUACGAGGAUUCCCAUAGUAACGGCGAGCGAACCGGGAU
rnacentral:rRNA from 1 species